rnacentral:rRNA from 1 species
GACGGCCGGCGAGACAGGGUGAAGGCCCCGUAGGCGAAGUCCGAAGGACAACCGAGUGCGUACCUGAGUACGUCGGGACACGUGGAAUCCUGACGGAAUCCGGGGGGACCACCCUCCAAGGCUGAAUACUCGGCAGCUACCGAUAGCGCAUAGUACCGUGAGGGAAAGGUGAAAAGCACCCCGGGAGGGGAGUGAAAGAGAACCUGAAACCAUGGACCCGCAAGCGGUCGCAGCCCGGAAGGGUGGCGGCGUGCCUUUUGUAGAAUGAGCCUGCGAGUCAUGACGUGCAGCGAGGUUAAGGGAUGGGAGUCCCGGAGCCGAAGGGAAACCGAGUCUGAAGAGGGCGUUGAGUUGCACGGCAUGGACCCGAAGCCAAGUGAUCUAUCCAUGGCCAGGCUGAAGCACCGGUGAGACGGUGUGGAGGGCCGAACCUAAAUCCGCUGAAAAGGGUUGGGAUGAGCUGUGGAUCGGAGCGAAAGACUAAACAAACUUGGAGAUAGCUGGUACUCCCCGAAAUAGCUUUAGGGCUAGCGUCAUGCGGACUGUCGCGGAGGUAAAGCACUGGAUAGAUGCGGGCCCGUCGCUGGGUACCAAGUUUAACCAAACUCAGAAUGCCGCGAUAUAGUGCAUGGCAGUCAGGCUGCGACUGAUAAGGGCCGUGGCCGAGAGGGAAACAGCCCGGAACGACAGCUAAGGUCCCCAAUGCGCGCCAAGUGGGAAAGGAAGUCCGAAUGCAUAGACAGCCAGGAGGUUGGCUCAGAAGCAGCCACACCUUCAAAGAGUGCGUAACAGCUCACUGGUCGAGUACUCGGGCACCGACAAUUCAACGGGGCUAAGCGUACAACCGAAGCUUCGUCACAGUCCUUUGGGACGUGUGGGUAGGGGAGCAUUCCAUGUAGUGAAGAAGCGGCGGCGGGAGCCGGCGUGGAGCGGAUGGAAGAGAGAAUGCAGGCAUGAGUAACGGAAAGACGGGUGGGAUCCCCGUCCGCCGAAAGCCUAAGGUUUCCAGGGUAAAGGUAAUCUACCCGGGGGUCAGCCGGCCCCUAAGGCGAGGACGAAGGUCGUAGCCGAUGGGAAACGGGUCAACAUUCCCGUGCCUCGCAGCGGAACGAUGGAGGGAAGCAUAGGGUGAAAGGUCGCCGGGCGUCGGUAGUCCCGGUCGAAGCGGCGAGCCGAAGAGGGCGCGAGUCAAAUGCCGUGCCUGAGGUGAGCCGGGAGGGAGCCCUCCCAAGGGGGGCGAAGGACGUGUAGCCGUCGUGCCAGGAAACACCUUCUAAGUACAUGCGCUGCGGGACCGUACUACAAACCGACACAGGUGGGCAAGCUGAGAAAGCAGAGGCGCUCGGAAGAACUCGCGUUAAGGAACUCGGCAAAAUGCAUACGUAACUUCGGGAGAAGUAUGGCCCACGGGGAGGCCCGUGGGCUGCAGAGAAAUGGCCCAAGCAACUGUUUACCAAAAACACAGGUCCAUGCGAACCAGCAAUGGGAAGUAUAUGGGCUGACACCUGCCCGGUGCUGGAAGGUCAAGGGGAGCCGUCAGAGCGAUCGAAGCGGCGAACUCAAGCCCCAGUAAACGGCGGCCGUAACUAUAACGGUCCUAAGGUAGCGAAAUUCCUUGUCGGGUAAGUUCCGACCCGCACGAAUGGUGUAAUGAUUUGGGCACUGUCUCAACGCGAGAUCCGGUGAAAUUGAAGUCCAGGUGAAGAUGCCUGGUGACUGCAGUUAGACGGAAAGACCCCGUGAACCUUUACUCCAACUUGGUGCUGAAGAUUGGAUCGGCAUGUGUAGGAUAGGUGGGAGACUGGGAUGCGUGCCCGUCAGGGUGCGCGGAGUCGUCGGUGAAAUACCACCCUUGCCGGUUCAAUUUUCUAACGGUGGCCGUGAUCCGGCCCCCGGACAGCGCCAGGCGGGGAGUUUGACUGGGGCGGUCGCCUCCCAAAGUGUAACGGAGGCGCGCGAAGGUCACCUUAGGGCGGUUGGGAAUCGCCCGUCAAGUGUAAAGGCACAAGGUGGCUUGACUGCAAGACGGACAGGUCGAGCAGGUACGAAAGUAGGUCUUAGUGAUCUGGCGGUAGCGUGUGGAAGCGCCGUCACUUAACGGAUAAAAGGUACUCCGGGGAUAACAGGCUGAUCUUGCCCAAGAGUUCACAUCGACGGCAAGGUUUGGCACCUCGAUGUCGGCUCAUCGCAUCCUGGGGCUGGAGCAGGUCCCAAGGGUUUGGCUGUUCGCCAAUCAAAGCGGUACGCGAGCUGGGUUCAGAACGUCGUGAGACAGUUCGGUCCCUAUCUGCUGCAGUCGUUGGAUACUUGAGGGGUCCUGCCUUUAGUACGAGAGGACCGAGGUGGACGGACCUCUGGUGUACCUGUUGUCGCGCCAGCGGCAUUCGCAGGGUAGCCACGUCCGGAAGGGAUAACCGCUGAAAGCAUCUAAGCGGGAAGCCCGCCCCAAGAUUAGGCGUCCCAUGGAGCUAGACUCCACUGAAGGAACCAGCCAGAACAGCUGGUCGAUAGGACGGCGGUGCAAGCGCGGCGACGCGUUCAGCCGACCGUUACUAAUCAUCCGUGAGGCUUGGCC